rnacentral:hammerhead_ribozyme from 1 species
AUCCAACUGACGAGUCCCAAAUAGGACGAAACACGCGUCCUAAAU